UGGCGAUAUCCUAUUACAUCCGGAACGAGGACCUAUCGCUUUGCGAUCGCAUACAAGAGUGAGCCAUCCUUUGACGAUGGUAGGAUAAUUAUUGACCUGAGGAAUAAUAUGGAUUUAUGUGGUUGUGAGAAUAGACGUUGUGUUUGUGAUUGUGAAAAUGUGAGUGUGUGUCUGUGUGUGCGCGCGCGCUUUCCUGAACCAGGGAUCCCACUUGACAAGUUGACCUUGUCUAGAGGAGCAUUAGUGGAAAAAAACUGUGUAGCCCUGAGACAAUAGGAUGACGUUACGACCAAUGAGAACGGCCUGCAGGGGGCGCAAGGAUUCACUUCUCUCUUGGACACUGACGGGUCUCGACACGCAAAUUCUGCUCCUGGCGUUGGCCGUCAGUGGAAGAGCGUAGCUUCGGUGGGGUUCUGUCUGCCUCUGAUGGGGUGCGGAUGUGUGGUUCGUCACUGGUGAAUGGUGUUCGACGAUGCAGGUGGAUUUUGUGACGAGUGGAUUUACAAUGAGGGAAUGCUGUGAACGGGAAAAAUGAUGGUGAGUGCCUUUUUCACUCUGUUCAAGUGUUUGUUUUCCUCUGUUGCCCAGCAGUCGUACGAUUUGUCCUGACGUGUCCUGAUAUGCCCCGAUAUGCAUGCUUUCCUUUGUUGACGCUUAGUAUUUGUUUCUUUUUUGACAAGGAACAUUGUCGUCUUGACGAUAGUGCUGCCCCGAGUUCUGCGCGCGUUGAUUUGUUGAGUGCCUAGUCCUCUUAUUAGCCAUUGAUGGAGUUACAUGUUAGGAUGUUUUGUUCUUUUGCAAGUCUCAUUUAGUAAGACUUUGGAAUUCCUACGAUCAGUUUUCAUGCAUGGUGCUCUUCUGCAAUAGUUUCCUAUGCAAUCGUUAUAGAAGAAUAAAGGAAAUAAUCUUGGGAUAGUGAUUCAAUAAAUAAUAGGUCCCCUGUCUAGAGCGCACGCGUCCUUGAGCCACGCAGGUGCAUGAUGACGUCAUACCGUGGCUUCACUGCAGAUUGACCAAAGGAGCAUUAGUGGAAAAAAACAGUGUAGCCCUGAGACAAUAGGAUGAUGUCUGGACCAAUGAGAACUGCCAGCAGGGGGCGCAGGAAUGCUCUUCUCACUUAGCCUGACGACCAAUGAGAACGGCCAGCAGGGGGCGCAGGAAUGCUCUUCUCUCUUAGCCUCUCGCAGGUGGCGGUAGGAGCGCGCAGAGGGCGCUACGAGCGCGCGCAUGCGUAGCACCCGUAGAGUGGCGCUUACGUCAGUCCACCUCUGGCUCUCGUUGGGAGAAGACGUGCGGUCGUUCGCUCCGUCGUCACUUGAUCCCUGGCUGUCGACGAGAGCAGUCGCAUCGGUCUGCGCUCCUACUGUGGUGAGGUGAUUUGUUGUGUAACUAAUGCUUUCGCCAACUUUGUUCCCGCUUUGUUUGCGAUUUUCGUGCCCGUGCACGUCGGGUGCUGGUUGCUGUUGUCCGGGCAUUCCCACCAUUUUCUAUCAUCUUCUGCCUUGGGACCGGGAGUAGCGCUGGCGUGAUUCUUAAUACUUUUGUUGUGAGAUUAGUUGAGAAAGUAACCGCUAGGGGGUGCAGCUGCGGUGUUUAUACAGGACAAAAACCAUUACGAGUCAGUUUCUGCCUGCCUCUCGGAUGGAGCAGUCGCAUGGUUCUGCGCUCCUGUUCUGGUGGGCUCAUUUGUUGUGUAACUAAUUGUUUUUUCUUGUUAGCUAUUGAUGGUUUGCAUACUCUUGCUUUCCCAGCCUCUGUAUUACGAGUGUUUUUCUCCUUGCAUGUCCAGAGCUGUCCUAACUUGCCCAGACAUGCCAUGAUGACGUCACAGCUGACGUCACAGGAUGUGCGGAACUGGUGCUGCGAUGCUUUGCAACCUGCCUCUGUGCUCCGUCGCCCAGCGACGGUCAGCGGCCGUUCCGGGCCGCUUUCUUCAAGAUGACGUCGUUGAUCCUCAACUAAACUCCUUCUCUCCACUCUAUCUCUAUCUUUUUAUUUUAUUUUCUACCUAUUUUUUUAUUUUUUAUCAGCUCAACUAGCCCACAACUCACACAGUGGUCUGGACACGUCCUAGAUGCACCCCAAUUAGUGUAAUGACUCCCUGGUGGGUCCUAAUUACUGGGGGGGGGUCCCAAUUAGCUCUAAUUGCUCAUUAAUGGCGUCCAGGCCACUGUGAGAGUUGUGGGCCAGUUGAGCUGAUCCCAUACUACUUGUAACCGUCAGAGCACAUUUCGUAUGUAAUUGCUUCUAGACAGUGGCUGGAGGGCGCAUCAGAAAGCAGUAUAUGAACAAAUAACAUUUUGAAUGGUUCCGUAAAUGUUGCUCCCAAUGCCCUCAACUUUUGUUCCCAGGAUCCCACAUGCAGGUUCACGUGCCGUCACCAGCUCAACGCAAUGCCUCACAAACUUGUCCCAGAGCGCCUCCCGCGCUGAUAACGCAGUAAUGUAUAGUGUCUCCUGCGUUACUGUACACUCAUGUUUCUCAAGGUUGUGUGAGUAUUAUGUAAUACUGUAUCGCCUUUUACGCUCGCAUCUGCAACACGAAUGUGGAAUAAAUUUUUUUCUGCUGCAAUU